rnacentral:rRNA from 1 species
AGUAAUGUGUGGAGCUGACCAAUACUAAUCGGUCGAGGGCUUAUCCUA